GAUGGAGAGACUUGAAAGGCAGAAGGAGCAACUUGAAAGGGAAAUUGAAAUGUUAAGAAGAAGAUUGAGGACGCAGAAGAGACCAGAGUCUCCUGAACCUGAACCUGAACCUGAACCUGAACCUGAACCUGAACCUGAACCUGAACCCAGCUGUGUGUCCUUCAAGAGUGACUGGUCAAAUGAUCGCUUUAUUAACUUUAAAGGUCAACAACCCUCUGCUGGAAAAGAGGUA